AGCCCGCAAUUGCUUCUCGCCUCUGCAGAGCAGCUGGGCAAUUGUAAAGAACCAGCAGCCAGUUCUGUUACUCAUUAAACAGCCCCUACUACAGAGGAAAUCUUCUUACCCACGUGGUCCUAACCUGGGGCGGAGGAAACCGGGCUAGAAGCGGCUCUAGGACUAACCCAAGGUCACGCCGCCAGGCAGGAUCCCCGGUCUGUCUGUCUGGCGGUGGCCCCGCGGCUGGGGCCAGCGGAGAGAAAUGACAGCGUGGAACCAGCCCUGGCCCGGUGGUCGGGAAUGUGGAGCUGGCACUGUCACUGUGUGUACCCUGGAUCUCUCUGGACGGCCUCGGCUUCCCCCCUGGGGAGUUUCUCUGGGACCUUCCUGAUCCUGGGAGUUCCCGCUUGCUGGGGCAAAGCCAGGAGCUCGCCCGAGGAGGGGAAGUGACUCAUUCACUUCGAGUCGCAGCUAAGUGGCCGAACUGCCUCAAACCGGCGCUGCACUCUGACCCCCAGGGGCCGGACCUGCCUGCCCCCGGCCGGUGCCCACUCUCCGUCUCAGGCGUCUUUCCUGGUCCUCUCCCUGCUUCCCGAACGCGCACUCUGGUGAGAGCACAGAGCCUGGGAAAGAAGACGACCUAGAGGCCCGGGCAGCCCAGCACCUCUGUUACUUGCUUCCUAAAGGGAACUCCAGUUCCUGAGAAAACAUGGGGUUGGGCCGGGAGUGGUGGCUCACGCCUGUAAUCCCAGCACUUUGGAAGGCCGAGGCGGAUGGAUCACCUGAGGUCAGGAGUUCGAGACCAGCCUGCCCAACAUGGUGAAACCCCGUCACUACUAAAAAUACAAAAAAUUAGCUGGACGUGGUGUCGCGUGCCUGUAAUCCCAGGUACUAGGCAGGCCGAGGCAGGAGAAUUGCUUGAACCCAGCGAAGGAUGCAGUGAGCCGAGAUCGCGCCAUUGCACUCCAUACUGGGUGACAAGAGUGAAACACACAAACAAAUCAAGGAAGGAAUUAAGGGUUUUAUUGAAAAUGAAAGUACGGCCAGGCGCAGUGGCUCACACCUGUAAUCCCAGCACUUUGGGAGGCCGAGGCGGGUGGAUUACAAAGUCAGGAGUUCAAGACCAGCCUAACCAAGAUGGUGAAACCCCGUCUCUACUAAAAGU
rnacentral:lncRNA from 1 species